rnacentral:rRNA from 1 species
AUGGCAGGCAUGAAGAAGGGGAAGGGGAAGGGGAGGGGGAAGGAGGAGCGACGGGUGACCUUUGCACCGGAAUCCGGGGAGCGACGGGUGUCAGCAACAAGUCAAAAGAGGAACGUGAAUGCAGCUGACUCGUCAGAAAAAUUAGUGAGUCUUGGAAAUAGAACCUCAAGGAAGCGGAUUAGAGAAAUUGAUGCAGAUGGCCCUGGAGCUUACAAGUCAGCGCCAAGAAACCUUAAAAGUACUAAAGAUUCUCAUUCCUCAAACCACAUGUCCUCAAAGUUUGUACCGCUGGCAGGAAUUCCCGCACACAAAACCAGGAACCUUACGGACAUGGCUGUGAGGGUGAAAGGGGACGUGGAGGAGGGGCGAGUAAUGAAGUUUGGGCCGAAAUUCAUCAGGGUAUUCUCCACUCCAGAAUACGGGGAGCGAUUGAAAAUUCCACAAUCAUUCAGUCAGUUCCUUCAGAAUCAACAAACUGGGUCGGUUUUACUAAGAGGUCAAAGUGGGAAUAAAUGGCUUGCGGAACUUGCUUCAGACACCGAAGGAUUUUUCUUUAUACAAGGAUGGAAGGAAUUUGUUAUAGAUCAUUCCAUCGGGGAAGGAAACCUCUUAUUAUUCUGUUAUGAUGGAUACGGACAGUUCUCAGUUAAUAUAUUUAAUGGAACGUGUGUUGAGAAGCCGUCAGCUUUUCAUGCUAAGCCUUCAAAGGAUUUUAAAAAAGAGAGUGAUGAAGAUGACAAUGGAGUAGCUCCCCAAGAAGAGAAUAAUGGAACCACAAAGAAGCUGACUGGAGAAAUUGAUGCAGAUGGCUCAAUGUUGAAGAAGUGUUGUAAUGCAUCAGUUAAGGGUAAGCAAAAAAUGCCUGAAUCUUUGGUUGGUACUUGUAAUGUGUUAGCAACAAGACAGAAGAGGAACAAGAAUGCAGCUGACCCAUCAGAAAGGUUGGAGAUUACUGGAGCUUACAGGUCAGCGCGAACAAGCCUUAAAACUGUCAGGAAAGUUCAAAGGCAACAUGCAGUAGUAUCACAAAGGUCGCCGGUAAGUGAAUGGCAGAAGAAGUACGCUCUUCAAAGGGCAGAAAAGUUUACAUCUAAGUACCCUUCAACUCUGAAAGUAAUUAAGGCGGCUAGUGCCUACAACUCAUUUUUCAUGGUCAUCCCAUCUGAAUUUGUCAGGGAGCAUCUCCCCCACACCAGCAAGAAGUUGACACUGUAUGAUCCGCAAGCAAUGCCCUGGCAAGUUGAAUACGUCUACUGCAGCCAUCGUUCCGCCGGGGCUUUCAGCAGCGGCUGGAGCCAGUUCUCAAUCGGCAACAAUCUGGAGAAGUUCGAUGUCUGCGUCUUCGAGCUCCUCGCCAAGGAGACCAUCAAGGUGCACAUCUACAGAGCUCAGCUCCUGAUAGAACAGUACCUCCACCAAGAACUUAGCGCUGCAAUCCAAAACUGA